GAUCCGGUAGUUCAGCUGGUUAGAAUACUUGCCUGUCACGCAAGUGGUCGCGGGUUCGAGUCCCGUCCGGAUCGCCA
rnacentral:tRNA from 2 species